GAAUCCGAACUUAGAUUUUUCGAAAAAAGCUUGAAUCGGAGUAGAUCUGAGUUUGAAUCUUGAUGAAAUUUUUGUAAAAGAAACGGAAGAUAAAGGAAAGGAACAAACGAAGAGGAUGCUUACCUCUUCUUGCUUGCUGUUACGGUCCUUGCUGCUUGCGCUUCGCGUGCUUGCUCGCGUAUUCGGUUCCUUCUUCUUUUCCUCUUCUCUGUGAUCGUGCUUAUUCGCCGCUUUUGGUGGUGAAUCUGCACUCGAAUUGCAGAGCAGUGAUUCGAUGAUGAUGAUUCAGUGAUGAAUCUUUGAGAAUUUCUGAUGAAUUUUCGGUUUUGGUUCUGGUGUUCUUGGUGAAUCUGUUUUCUUUGAUCUAACAGAAUGGAGAGAGAAAGUUGGGAUCUGUUUGUGAUGUGGCACUGUGUGAAUGGAAUCUUUUGAUUAUGUGGCACUGUGAACAGUAUUUAUAGCUGAUGUGUGAGUGAUCGGACCAUUAGAAAGCUGACAUGUGGCAUUGGACCGAAAAAAGGGGCGCUGCCCUAUAAUUUUGACUUGAAGGACCUGUUUGCAAUUUAAAAAAAAAAUGGACUGGACUGAAAUGAAAUUAAAAACUUUUUGGACAAAAAAAUGCAAUUUU
rnacentral:lncRNA from 1 species